rnacentral:rRNA from 1 species
GACGUAGGGGGCGAGCGUUGUCCGGAAUUACUGGGCGUAAAGAGCACGUAGGCGGGAACCUAAGUCAGGUGUGAAAGACCGUGGCUCAACCACGGGGUGGCAUUUGAAACUGGGUUUCUUGAGGGCAGGAGAGGAAAGCAGAAUUCCUGGUGUAGCGGUGAAAUGCGUAGAAAUCAGGAGGAAUACCAGUGGCGAAGGCGGCUUUCUGGACUGACCCUGACGCUGAGGAGCGAAAGUGUGGGUAGCAAACAGGAUUAGAUACCCUGGUAGUCCCUGAG